rnacentral:tRNA from 1 species
AGAGCAUGCGGCUCAUAUCCGCAGAGUCCGGGGUUCAAGUCCCUGCACCGCCACCA